GGGACACGUGGUAUCCUGUCUGAAUAUGGGGGGACCAUCCUCCAAGGCUAAAUACUCCUGACUGACCGAUAGUGAACCAGUACCGUGAGGGAAAGGCGAAAAGAACCCCGGCGAGGGGAGUGAAAAAGAACCUGAAACCGUGUACGUACAAGCAGUGGGAGCACGCUUAGGCGUGUGACUGCGUACCUUUUGUAUAAUGGGUCAGCGACUUAUAUUCUGUAGCAAGGUUAACCGAAUAGGGGAGCCGAAGGGAAACCGAGUCUUAACUGGGCGUUAAGUUGCAGGGUAUAGACCCGAAACCCGGUGAUCUAGCCAUGGGCAGGUUGAAGGUUGGGUAACACUAACUGGAGGACCGAACCGACUAAUGUUGAAAAAUUAGCGGAUGACUUGUGGCUGGGGGUGAAAGGCCAAUCAAACCGGGAGAUAGCUGGUUCUCCCCGAAAGCUAUUUAGGUAGCGCCUCGUGAAUUCAUCUCCGGGGGUAGAGCACUGUUUCGGCAAGGGGGUCAUCCCGACUUACCAACCCGAUGCAAACUGCGAAUACCGGAGAAUGUUAUCACGGGAGACACACGGCGGGUGCUAACGUCCGUCGUGAAGAGGGAAACAACCCAGACCGCCAGCUAAGGUCCCAAAGUCAUGGUUAAGUGGGAAACGAUGUGGGAAGGCCCAGACAGCCAGGAUGUUGGCUUAGAAGCAGCCAUCAUUUAAAGAAAGCGUAAUAGCUCACUGGUCGAGUCGGCCUGCGCGGAAGAUGUAACGGGGCUAAACCAUGCACCGAAGCUGCGGCAGCGACGCUUAUGCGUUGUUGGGUAGGGGAGCGUUCUGUAAGCCUGUGAAGGUGUGCUGUGAGGCAUGCUGGAGGUAUCAGAAGUGCGAAUGCUGACAUAAGUAACGAUAAAGCGGGUGAAAAGCCCGCUCGCCGGAAGACCAAGGGUUCCUGUCCAACGUUAAUCGGGGCAGGGUGAGUCGACCCCUAAGGCGAGGCCGAAAGGCGUAGUCGAUGGGAAACAGGUUAAUAUUCCUGUACUUGGUGUUACUGCGAAGG
rnacentral:rRNA from 1 species